rnacentral:rRNA from 1 species
GAUGAACGCUGGCGGCGUGCCUAACACAUGCAAGUCGAACGAAGCUCCUAGACUUGAGUUUUCGGACAAGAGAAAGGGAUGACUUAGUGGCGGACGGGUGAGUAAUGCGUGAGCAACCUGCCUUUCAGAGGGGGACAACAGUUGGAAACGACUGCUAAUACCGCAUAACGUAUAUUGAUGGCAUCAUCGAUAUACCAAAGAUUUUAUCGCUGAAAGAUGGGCUCACGUCUGAUUAGCUAGUUGGUGAGGUAACGGCUCACCAAGGCUGCGAUCAGUAGCCGGACUGAGAGGUCGAACGGCCACAUUGGGACUGAGAUACGGCCCAGACUCCUACGGGAGGCAGCAGUGGGGAAUAUUGGGCAAUGGGCGCAAGCCUGACCCAGCAACGCCGCGUGAAGGAAGAAGGCUUUCGGGUUGUAAACUUCUUUUGGCAGGGACGAAAAAAUAGACGGUACCUGCAGAAUAAGCUCCGGCUAACUACGUGCCAGC